UGGGGAAUUUUGGACAAUGGGGGAAACCCUGAUCCAGCCAUCCCGCGUGUGCGAUGAAGGCCUUCGGGUUGUAAAGCACUUUUGGCAGGAAAGAAACGUCAUGGGUUAAUACCCCGUGAAACUGACGGUACCUGCAGAAUAAGCACCGGCUAACUACGUGCCAGCAGCCGCGGUAAUACGUAGGGUGCAAGCGUUAAUCGGAAUUACUGGGCGUAAAGCGUGCGCAGGCGGUUCGGAAAGAAAGAUGUGAAAUCCCAGAGCUCAACUUUGGAACUGCAUUUUUAACUACCGGGCUAGAGUGUAUCAGAGGGAGGUGGAAUUCCGCGAGUAGCAGUGAAAUGCGUAGAUAUGCGGAGGAACACCGAUGGCGAAGGCAGCCUCCUGGGAUAACACUGACGCUCAUGCACGAAAGCGUAGGGAGCAAACAUG
rnacentral:rRNA from 1 species